rnacentral:lncRNA from 1 species
GUGCAUACAAAGCCCUGAUGAAUAGAGGCCUGCGCAGAGUGCCUGGGGUGCAAGGCAGCAGGGCAGCCAGUGAACCACUGAGUUCGCACUGUGGCCAGUCCUGUGUGCCCCUGCUGGAUUCUACUUCUAUGAGGGAGGCAGCAAGGAGUUGGGACUUCACAGGGUCUUACUUUGUCGCCCAGGCUGGAGUACAGUGGCAUGAUCAUAGCUCAUUGCAGCCUCCACCUCCCUGGGCUCAGGAGAUCCAUCUCAGCCUCCUGAGUAGCUGGGACCACAGGUUUUGUUCAGGUUUAGCACAAGCUGUGAUGAAUAUCUUCAAGCCUCUGCUUCCUGCUGUGGAAUUGUUGCCAAAGGACACAUUCCCAGAUGGGAUUACUGAGUCAGAGGAAGUGGACAUUGAGUGGCUCUCAACAGACAGGCUGUGUUGCUCUCACAGUGCCCAGCUUCCCAUGGGUGGCCAGCCGAAUGCAUUAUGGGAGAAAGCAGGUCUCGUGGAUAAUAUUUCUGAAGAUCAGAGCAGGUUGUGUCGGGUCCACGUUGGCCAUGACUGCAGCAUGCUCCGGAGGCAGCAGGGGGCACCCUGGAGCUUCGCAUCCUCCCUCAGGCCCGCGGCAUCUCCCCUGGCUCCACCAUCCCCAGGUGUCUCAGCAGCAGCCUUGUGGCUAUGUCUAUUCUUUGCCCUCCGAGUUCUAGGCUGAGGGUGAGGAUUGGAUGAGUUGAUCCACGCAAGGCUCCUGGCACAGUGCCUGGCAUAUGGUUAAAUAGACUUGAAGUUAUAAUUACCAGGCCUGUUUCCUCCUCAUGAGAGGUGGAGCAGUGGUUCCCAAACAUGAUGUGGGAAGUGUGUUAAAAUGCAGAUCCUGGGCUCGACUCUGAAGCUCUCCCAGCAUCCACCUUCCCAGGUGACCAGACUCUUGGGAAGGCAUCACCUCAAGACUCCUGCACCCUUCCUCCAGAGUCCUGGGAUUAAGCUAAAUCCUGGGAAGCUCACUGCAGCCUUGACCUCCUGGGCUCAAGUGAUCCUCCCACCUCAGCCUCCUGGGUAGCUACAACUGCAUAUGUCCAUCAUCACGCCUGGGUGCCUGCCUCCCUUGGGCCUCCCUGCUGCGCCUGGCCACGUGGAAACCCCUGUAGCUCCCUGGCUGUGCAGGAGCAGCCACAGUGUGCCCCUCCCAGGACCACCAUCCCCCUCACUGUCUCUGAGGCACCUGCGUGGACCGGGUCUGGAUUGAGUCUCAUUUCUCUGGAUUCCCACGGCAGCUGGCGGCUGCCUCUCCCACACCCGUCACUCUGUGUCAUGGAAAGCUGUGUGUUUGUCUUCAUUCCCACCGAGUCUGAGCCACUCGAGGUCAGGGCCAUGACCGUGAGCUGCACGUCCUCAGUGCCCAGUGUGAGCCGUGUACAGUAGAGGCUGACUGACGUCUUGGAGGCAGAA